GAGUUUGAUCAUGGCUCAGGAUGAACGCUAGCGGCAGGCUUAACACAUGCAAGUCGAGGGGUAGUUACUUUCGGGUAAUGAGACCGGCGCACGGGUGCGUAACGCGUAUGCAAUCUACCUUUUACAGGGGAAUAGCCCAGAGAAAUUUGGAUUAAUGCCCCAUGGUAUUAUAGAGUGGCAUCACUUUAUAAUUAAAGUUCCAACGGUAAAAGAUGAGCAUGCGUCCCAUUAGUUAGUUGGUAAGGUAACGGCUUACCAAGACGAUGAUGGGUAGGGGUCCUGAGAGGGAGAUCCCCCACACUGGUACUGAGACACGGACCAGACUCCUACGGGAGGCAGCAGUGAGGAAUAUUGGACAAUG
rnacentral:rRNA from 1 species